GACGAACGCUGGCGGCGUGCUUAACACAUGCAAGUCGAGCGGUAAGGCCCUUUCGGGGGUACACGAGCGGCGAACGGGUGAGUAACACGUGGGUGACCUGCCCUUAGCUCUGGGAUAAGCCUGGGAAACUGGGUCUAAUACCGGAUAUGACUCCAUGACGCAUGUUGUGGGGUGGAAAGCCUUGUGCGGCUAGGGAUGGGCCCGCGGCCUAUCAGCUUGUUGGUGGGGUGAUGGCCACCAAGGCGACGACGGUAGCCGGCCUGAGAGGGCGACCGGCCACACUGGGACUGAGACACGGCCCAGACUCCUACGGGAGGCAGCAGGUGGGGAAUCUUGCGCAAUGGGCGAAAGCCUGACGCAGCGACGCCGC
rnacentral:rRNA from 1 species